rnacentral:rRNA from 1 species
CAGUAGCCGCGGGAAUACGUAGGGUGCAAGCGUUAAUCGGAAUUACUGGGCGUAAAGCGUGCGCAGGCGGUUAUAUAAGACAGAUGUGAAAUCCCCGGGCUCAACCUGGGAACUGCAUUUGUGACUGUAUAGCUAGAGUACGGCAGAGGGGGAUGGAAUUCCGCGUGUAGCAGUGAAAUGCGUAGAUAUGCGGAGGAACACCGAUGGCGAAGGCAAUCCCCUGGGCCUGUACUGACGCUCAUGCACGAAAGCGUGGGGAGCAAACAGGAUUAGAUACCCCGGUAGUCCCUGUCCUUAUACA